GUGCCCGGGCCCAAGCCGGAAUACAUUCAGUUUGCCACCAGAGCUCGUCUGGAGCACAACUAGUUUCGGGAACUAAACAAAAAAUAUCAAAAUUAAAAGUAAAGCAAUGGCUAGCUUUACUGCCGUAUUCCAAUUCGAGCGUUGAACCGAAAAGCUUCCAAAUUCUAAGUUUAGAGACGGAAUUUCCAUAGCUAAUGUGGUGAAUUUAAGAAAUGGCUCUGCAUAUCCUCACUCCCUCGCUCACACACAACAAAACACAUACACAAACACUCACACUAGUAUCACAAAGAUACUGACACCCACACAGAUUCUCACACACACACACACACACACACACACACACAUGGCCAUUGCUUUCUUUGACGACGGGAAAGCAAUGGCAUUGAAGUUCGUUUUCGGUGAAUUGACGGUGCACUCAACACACGAUAAAGUACCUAAGGAUGCCUGGUUUCUAUCCUAUUUCACCCGGCCCAUAUCCAGUCGAAGCGCAUACAGGUUGCUCAUAAUGAAGAUCAUACACCUCCAAUAGGAAUCGCCUUAAUAGAGUUCAUUAUCCGCCCUUUCCUGCCAUUGUUUAGAGUUGUUUUGUAUUUUUCCCCACCGAUGGUACCGGUCCUCAGCUGGACGUGAAGCUCGCAUCGGUCGUCCAAGGGCUAUAAGCUAUAUGUAUAUUAUAUGUACCAAAAACACAAGCUAUUACGAACUAUAUAUGUAUAUGUACCGAUUUGAUGAAGAGAACAAACAAAAAAAUAUGUAAAAAAUUGCA